rnacentral:tRNA from 1 species
AGAUGUUUAGUGUAAACGGAAGCACGUCAUACAACUUUAAGAUACCGUUCUUAUCGUAUGGAAGUGUUGGUUCGAAUCCGACAAUAUCUCCA